UACGUAGGGUGCGAGCGUUAAUCGGAAUUACUGGGCGUAAAGCGCACGUAGGCGGCUUGGUAUGUCGGGUGUGAAAUCCCCGGGCUCAACCUGGGAACUGCAUCCGAAACUGCCUUGCUCGAGUAUGGGAGAGGGAAGUGGAAUUUCCGGUGUAGCGGUGAAAUGCGUAGAUAUCGGAAGGAAUACCAGUGGCGAAGGCGGCCUCCUGGAUCGAUACUGACGCUGAGGCGCGAAAGCGUGGGGAGCAAACAGG
rnacentral:rRNA from 1 species